rnacentral:rRNA from 1 species
AAUAGAGUGUCAAGCAGGCAGAUCAAUUUGNCUUGACACGAAUACAUUAGCAUGGGCAUAAUGGAAUAGGACCCUGUCCUCCUAUUUUCAGUUGGUUUUGGCAGCGCGAGGACUAGGGUAAUGAUUAAUAGGGAUAGUUGGGGGCAUUAAUAUUUAAUUGUCAGAGGUGAAAUUCUUGGAUUUAUGAAAGAUUAACUUCUGCGAAAGCAUCUGCCAAGGAUGUUUUCAUUAAUCAAGAACGAAAGUUAGGGGAUCGAAGACGAUCAGAUACCGUCGUAGUCUUAACCAUAAACGAUGCCGACCAGCGAUUAGGAGACGUUGAAUACAAAACACCACCAUCGGUGCGGUCGUCCUUGGCGUCGGUUUCGGCCGGCGCGGGGGCGGCUUAGCCCGGUGGCACCGGUGAAUGACUCCCCUAGCAGCUUGU